GGAGUUAGCCGGUGCUUCUUCUGCGAGUAACGUCACAGAUGUAAGGUAUUAACUUACACCCUUUCCUCCUCGCUGAAAGUGCUUUACAACCCGAAGGCCUUCUUCACACACGCGGCAUGGCUGCAUCAGGGUUUCCCCCAUUGUGCAAUAUUCCCCACUGCUGCCUCCCGUAGGAGUCUGGGCCGUGUCUCAGUCCCAGUGUGGCUGAUCAUCCUCUCAGACCAGCUAGGGAUCGUCGCCUAGGUGAGCCUUUACCUCACCUACUAGCUAAUCCCACCUGGGCUUAUCCAUCAGCGCAAGGCCCGAAGGUCCCCUGCUUUCCCCCGUAGGGCGUAUGCGGUAUUAGCAGUCGUUUCCAACUGUUAUCCCCACAAAUGGGCAAAUUCCCAGGCAUUACUCACCCGUCCGCCGCUCGUCAUCUUCAAAAGCAAGCUUUUGAAAUGUUACCGCUCGACUUGCAUGUGUUAGGCCUGCCGCCAGCGUUCAAUCUGAGCCAGANACAACUACUNA
rnacentral:rRNA from 1 species